rnacentral:rRNA from 1 species
AUACGGAGGAUGCGAGCGUUGUUCGGAAUCACUGGGCUUAAAGCGCGUGUAGGCGGCCUAGCCAGUACCUUGUGAAAUCCCUUGGCUCAACCGAGGAAUUGCUGGGUAUACUGCUGGGCUUGAGGCGGUUAGGGGUGCCUGGAACUCUAGGUGGAGCGGUGAAAUGCGUAGAUAUCUAGAGGAACGCCUGAGGCGAAAGCGAGGCACUGGGACCGAUCUGACGCUGAGACGCGAAAGCGUAGGGAGCGAACGGGAUUAGAAACCCCAGUAGUCC